GGCAAGACAGACCCACUCCCCCUGCUUCAGAGGUCCUAUACACCCCUGGCUAAGUGGACCCACAAGUUCGCCACAGGCUUACUGGUAGUUGGGACCAGUCCCUGGGACAGGCUGCCUACCCUGGCUGUGCUCAAUUAAAUCGGUGCUCCAGCGGGUGGGGCAAACCCCUGCAUUAACAGGCUAGAGGAAAGAAUCCAAUGAUGACUGCCAGUGUCUGUGUCAGCACUAUUGAAUUAGGUCACAAUAAUGGCUGCCACCAGUGUCUUAGUCCCUGAGAUGGGGGGACCAGCUGCCUCCUGCCUCUCUGAGGUGCACUCUGAGCUCAAAUCAAAACUGCCCUUCUCCGAAAGUCCUGCAAGCCGAAGCUGGAUGACUUGGUACAAGCUUCAAGAAAUCACCAUAACAGAUCAUGAAGCCAGGAGCCACGCCACGAGGACCCUCAACCAGCCCUGUGAAGAGAUCCACAUGGUGAGGAACUGAGGCAUCUUGCAAAUAGCUCUGUGAGCCAUCUUGGAAGUGCAUCCUUUAUCUCCGGUCAAACCUUCAAAUGACUUCAGUCCUGGCCAACAUGUUAACUCAUGAGAUACCUGGAGCCAGAAUCACCCAACUUCGCCACUCCUGGAUUCCUGACCCUCAGAAAUAUGUUUGUUUAACAAUUUACUCCGCGGGAGACAUCAUAUAUCUGCUCUUCUUCGUGUAUUAUUCAAUCAGCUUUCUACGGAG
rnacentral:lncRNA from 1 species